rnacentral:rRNA from 1 species
UACGUAGGGCGCAAGCGUUAUCCGGAAUUAUUGGGCGUAAAGAGCUCGUAGGCGGUUUGUCGCGUCUGCCGUGAAAGUCCGGGGCUCAACUCCGGAUCUGCGGUGGGUACGGGCAGACUAGAGUGAUGUAGGGGAGACUGGAAUUCCUGGUGUAGCGGUGAAAUGCGCAGAUAUCAGGAGGAACACCGAUGGCGAAGGCGGAUCUCUGGGCCAGUACUGACACUGAGGAGCGAAAGCGUGGGUAGCAAACAGG